CCUACGGGUGGCAGCAGUGGGGAAUAUUGCACAAUGGGGGAAACCCUGAUGCAGCGACGCCGCGUGAGUGAUGAAGUAUUUCGGUAUGUAAAGCUCUAUCAGCAGGGAAGAAAAUGACGGUACCUGACUAAGAAGCCCCGGCUAACUACGUGCCAGCAGCCGCGGUAAUACGUAGGGGGCAAGCGUUAUCCGGAUUUACUGGGUGUAAAGGGAGCGUAGACGGCUUGGCAAGCCAGAUGUGAAAGGCCGGGGCUCAACCCCAGGACUGCAUUUGAAACUGUCAUGCUAGAGUGUCGGAGAGGCAGGCGGAAUUCCUAGUGUAGCAGUGAAAUGCGUAGAUAUUAGGAGGAACACCAGUGGCGAAGGCGGCCUGCUGGACGAUGACUGACGUUGAGGCUCGAAAGCGUGGGGAGCAAACAGGAUUAGAUACCCUUGUAGUC
rnacentral:rRNA from 1 species